rnacentral:rRNA from 1 species
AUUGAACGCUGGCGGCAGGCUUAACACAUGCAAGUCGAGCGGGGUGAUGGUGCUUGCACUAUCACUUAGCGGCGGACGGGUGAGUAAUGCUUAGGAAUCUGCCUAUUAGUGGGGGACAACAUCUCGAAAGGGAUGCUAAUACCGCAUACGUCCUACGGGAGAAAGCAGGGGAUCACUUGUGACCUUGCGCUAAUAGAUGAGCCUAAGUCGGAUUAGCUAGUUGGUGGGGUAAAGGCCUACCAAGGCGACGAUCUGUAGCGGGUCUGAGAGGAUGAUCCGCCACACUGGGACGUAGACACGGCCCAGACUCCUACGGGAGGCAGCAGUGGGGAAUAUUGGACAAUGGGGGGAACCCUGAUCCAGCCAUGCCGCGUGUGUGAAGAAGGCCUUAUGGUUGUAAAGCACUUUAAGCGAGGAGGAGGCUCUUUUGGUUAAUACCCAAGAUGAGUGGACGUUACUCGCAGAAUAAGCACCGGCUAACUCUGUGCCAGCAGCCGCGGUAA